CAGGACGCUCACUUGGCAGAGUUCUAGAUAAGCAGCAGCAUCUUGGAAAAGCUGGCUGUCUUUGGCUGUCAGAUUUAUCAUCUUUGCUAAGUUGGCUGUCAGUAUGGGUAGCUGUUGUUAAUGGGUGACCUGCAGGAGAAUAACAAAGAAGGCCAUCUCACUGCCAGGACCUUCUGUGCCCUCCGACUAUCCAGGAUUCGGAAGAGGAGGAGGCAACUCCUCUCUGGUAAAGGAAGCAAAUAAGAAAACCUCACUGCCAGGACCCCACAUAGGACUUUCCGUACCCUCCAAGACUCAGGGAGAAGAACUAAAGUAGGCAAGCUUAAUCCCAGGACCCCACGCAGGAGCUUUCAUCCCCUCUGACACUCCGGGAGAAUCACCAAAGGAGAAAACUUCAGUGCCAGGGCCCCAUUCAGGACUUUUCAUCCCCUUCAACACUCUUGGAGAAGAACCAAUGAAGAAAACCUCAGUACUAGGACCCCACCCAGGGCCUUCUGUUCUCUCCGACACUGCAAGUCUGAGAAAAGCAGCACCCCAAGGCCAAAGAGACCUCCACAGCUGCCAAGAAUGCCUGAAGAACCUCAAGGCCCUGAGGGGAUAGCUGAGGAGACUGAGAAGCAGGCUGGCCAAGGUUGUUGCCACUAUGGGGAUCAUGGAUCCUCCAAAGGAGCUGGAUGCCGAGGAAGAAGAAGAGGAAGUCCAAUAAAAACAGACACUGCUGUGUAACAAAUAAUAGACACAGAAAAUAAAUGGCAGAUAGUGAGAUAGGUGGAUAAUACAUAAGAAAUAAUAAUUUUUAAAAGGACGUCACGUCAGAUACAGAAAUAAAUAGCAAUGAAACAUGCAUAUAUUUUUUAAAUUAAACCUUUGUUUUUUUAUUUUAAAGAAAACAAAGUUGUCUUGCUCUGAUUAUUCUUUGAGAUCAAGCAAAUACAUAUUCAAUACAGGGAUUUGUAACACACACAGAAAAGAGGAGUUCAGGCCUCAUUUCUUCAUACCACCCAUAGGGUUCAAGGCCAUAGUUUUAAAGUUGGGGGUCUAUACUGCAGGUGACAAACUUCAGGCAACAUACAGAAAUGCACACUGUAUGUUAUUCUUCGGAGCAAAUCAGAUUCUUCCUUUGAACUUGUCAACACUCAAGAUGGCAGUUAUUUGAUUAUAAAUGUCAAACAUCUGAGAAAGGUGCCAUCUCAACCAAAAUGUGAUGAUUAGCAGUCUCUGGUAACUCAGAUUUGCCUACUCCUGUGAUGCAGGACACUGAGAAGCUCCCUGAGAACAGUGACAGCAGAACAGAUGAUGAAACAUUCUUGAUGUAGAACUUACUCCAGAGAAGACUAUGAGAAGUGGAUAAGUAAGUAGUUAAAAAGACCCUCCAGAUUUAAAGAUAUGAUUAUGUAGGUUUUGGCAGCAUCUUAGGAAAAAGUGUUAUCUUUCAAAAAUGUUUUUAAAGCUGGACACUGUUUAGUGUUUAUGUUUGUUUAACAAAGGAAGGGAUGCCAUGUAGCUGCUUACAGAGUUUCCUGCAAUACUACAGAUCCCAGCAGUCUGUGCAGCAGAGACAGGAAGUGGCAGCCAAAAUAGGAAGUAGGAGUGCAAACAGAGGCUCAGAGACAGAGACUUGUAGGAAACUUAGUAAAUAUGUUAAAUGGCAUUGUUAUUAAAGACUAUA